rnacentral:rRNA from 1 species
UAGUACGGCGAGUGAGAGGGAAGAGCCCAAGAUUGAAAGCUGGCGUCUUCGGCGUCCGCAUUGUAAUCUCAAGAAGUGUUUUCCGCUUCGGACCAUGCCUAAGUCCCUUGGAAAAGGGCAUCAUAGAGGGUGAUAAUCCCGUACAUGGCAUGGAGCGCCCGAAGCUUUGUGAUACGCUUUCUAAGAGUCGAGUUGUUUGGGAAUGCAGCUCAAAAUGGGUGGUAAAUGCCAUCUAAGGCUAAAUAUUGGGGAGAGACCGAUAGCGAACAAGUACAGUGAUGGAAAGAUGAAAAGAACUUUGAAAAGAGAGUUAAACAGUACGUGAAAUUGCCAAAAGGGAAGGGUAGGAGGUCAGAGAUGCGGCCUGGGAUUCAGCCUUGCUUUUGCUUGGUGUUUUUCCCAGAUUGCAGGCCAACGUCGGUUUUGGGCACUGGAGAAGGGUAGGAGGAACGUGGCACCUCUCGGGGUGUGUUAUAGCCUCCUACUGGAUACAGCGACCGAGACCGAGGACAGCAGCGUACUCGCAAGAGCGGGCCUUCGGGCACCUUUACGCUUAGGGCGUUGGCGUAAUGGCCCUCUACCACCCGUCUUGA